AUAGGGAUAACAAUCUGCAGGUAGAGAAGUAAAGAUUGUGUUAGGUAAGUUCCGGGAAGAGGAGUGGCAGAUUUUGCAUUUAAAACUGCAGAAUAAAAAGUACGAAUUUUUGAAAAAUUUAAAUAUUUAAGCUUUGUGAAACGAUUAAUAACCAUGCAACAUUUUUAAAUAAUCAAUAUUAAUAUUACAAGAGUGACAUAUUUUUAAUUAUAUAAUCUUGAUUUUUGAAAUAAAUGCUUUUUUUUCGGAUGAGGUUGUACUAACCAGCGAAAUGAUUUUUUUUCCGUAUCUAAACUACCGCGUUAUUAUUUUCCUGCCUAGUAUUUUGUUAGUACAAUAUAUAGUACACAAUAUAUAGUGCACAAAAUAAUUUAUUACGGUUGUGGCAAACAACAGUUAACUGGUGUCACUGCUACAAAAGUUUAACAUUAUUUAGCCAAACUUGUGUUGUGAAUGUAUUACACUGAAAUAAAUAAUAAAAUCACUUCAGGCUAUAUAAAAAAAGAUUGUCAAAAUUAAAUGAUAUCGUAGCUUUCGUCCAUUCGAAACCUAAAUUGGGCGGAGACAAAACAAAAUACAGAAAAAAACUUAUUUUGUAAUAAAUGAGGCAAUAAAAUUAGUUAUAGGUAUCUAAUUUCUUAAUUUAUUUACUUGAAUGGAAAUAAAUUUGCCAUUAGAAUCAUCAUUUGUUGAUAACCGCCGUUCUAACAAAAUGUAAAACUCAGAUUAACGUAUAUUUCCGUAUACAUAGCCUACUUUAGCAAAAUAUCUCCAGAGUGACGUCACAAAUUGCUAGCCAGUGAAAGAGAAAGGUGCGCAAAAGGAUACAUAUAUAACUUCACGAUUAUUCACCCGUUAUGUUCACAGUUGACAGAACAGAAGAACGAAUGAAUAUCAAGCAAUGAUUUGUGUAACAUUUUCUUAAGUGUUAUGAGUACGUAAUAAAUAUUCUCGCAGAAACUGUAUGGUGUUAUUAGACGCAGCGUCGCACUGCGUGGCUGCGACUGGUUGAUAAUCGCUGGCUCCUCUGUGACAUUGUGGGCAUUGGUGAAUCAAGCUUGUCGUGAAUGUCAGUGCGCUUGCAAACUGACUCCCCUGCUGCAGCUCAUACACCGGUCGUCACUGGAUUCUGAUGUACUUUGUAAUAAUUAAGAUAGUUUCUGAACCAGAACAGUUGAUAAGCUACGGUCCUGAAUCAAAAAAGGUAAAUUUAAAAUGUGUCGUAACUUUAUCUUUGAGCCUCAUUUAGAAAAUGUUAACAUACUCACCUUUCAUUGUUAGGUACAUAUUUUUUUACACAAUCCCGCAUAACCCUGCAAGUUAUAAAAAUUCUUCCAAUGUAUGAAUUUCCCAAUUACAUACAUAUUGAUAAUGCCGAAUGUGGACUUUAUAUAUAUACACACAUGCAUACUUACACAUAUAUGUAUAAUAAUUGAAAGAAAAUGUUUGCUUCAAUGUCUCCCCUAUAAAUAAUAAAUGAAUUACCUAUAUGAUUAAAUAUCCGUGUUCUUAGUGGAUAUAACUAGGAAAAUCUGCAUAAUUUGUAUGUAUUUUGGUAGUUAUUAAAAAAGUACAAUUAAACUUACAAUAUUAUGAAUUGUCAUACCUCUAAUGUUAAAUUUUACUCUUGUACAGAUAGCACACUGUAUCUAAGUAACAUAAUUAAGAUGUCACAGAUAUAAUAAUUAAUACUUACUAAUUUUAUACGACAAUGUGUUUCCGAUUCAUUUGACUUCUUGCAAAUGGGUUAUAAAUUAAGUAUAACUCCAGAGACGUACCAAAUUAGGUUACCUUGAGAAACUCAUGACGUCAGCGUGUAUGGUUUAUGUGUUAGGGAAAAUUUAUUCAAAUACUGUGUAUUAAAAAAGUGCAUGACAUGGUA